UAAUUCGUAAAUCGUAAUACGAAGUUGUAAUUUGUAAUACUUCAAACACUCAAUAUCCUCCUCGCCUCCUCUGUGUUUAUCUCAUCCAGUUUUGCUUCGUGAGUCAAGCGCAGUCGCCAUGAAGGCGCGGAGGAGCUCGGGCCUGCGGUACCGACCGUACGCCCGCAGUACGUCCAUCCACCACUCGGACCCGGAGGUCAUCUGCGACGACGACGAGCUGGACGACACGAUCGUGGUGGUGUACGACCGGCGGCGCCACCAGGCCGCGCCGGCCGCCCCCGCCAGGGGCCCCGCCGCCGGUCGGAAGGAUGGCGGAGCGGGCGCGGCGGCGGCGGCUUCUUCAGGGACUCCUGCCUCCGCGGCGCCGCCGCCGGCGGGCGGGACGGCCACCAAGUCGCAGCUGGAGUUCUCCCCGUGGCGGGUGUCGCGGAUCCCACUACCGGCCGACCCCAACACUCCGGACCACUCCAAGACGCUGUGCGCCAGCCCCGCCGACGCCGCCACCUCGGGACACAAGGCGGCCGCUGAGCUGACCGUUGACGAACUAUUCAGUCCCUUCUCGGGAUCCCCGGUCGUGCGGAACACUGACACAGGCACGGUGAAGAAGUGGAAGCGGAAUCGUCGGAAAUCUCGCCGCGGGAAGGGUCCGAUCACCUCGACGCCGGCUCCGGGCGCUCCUGGCGGCGCUCGCGGCGGCACGGGCUCGGCGCCGGCCACACCGGCCCUCCGCCCGCCGGACGUCAGUGAGGUGCGUGAUGUCACACCCUUUGUGAUCACACUAGACGAAGAUCCUACUGUAUUAGAAGUAACGGAAGUACGCCGUGUGGUGCGGCAGACCACGCCCUCCGAGAAACGGACGGUCAGGACGGACCUGAGCGCGGAUGUGAUGCUGCUCGACACCUCCUCUGAGAGGACGCCGGCACGCCGCUUGAAGGCCGCCAAUCUGUCCAAGAUGCGGCCGGGGCGAGUGGGUACCAGAUCGCCGGGGGGACGGGUGACCAAGAAGUCUCCAGCACAGCCUGCCAGAAAGUCUCCAGCACAGCCUGUCAGAAAGUCUCCAGCAAAGAAGUCUCCUGCGGCCAAGGGCAAGACGGCGGCUGGUACGGCCGCCCCGGCCGCUGACCUCGAGAGCUCCCUGGAGGAGGGCGAGCUGUCCCGCACCCGCCACUCCUCCAAUGACAUCACGGUCGUGCAGGUGAAGCCGCUGCGCCGCACCAGCAGCACGCAGCGGCGCCUCCAGGCCGUGAAGAAGAUGGCGGUCCGCACGCUCAGCCGGUCGCAAGUCAAGACGCCGAGCAGGCCGGGAAAGUCGGGCAGGUCGCAACGGUCGAAAAGGUCCGACAGGCCAAGGGAUCACCGCAGUCAGCGAAACCUGAAGGGACCGAAUGAGCGGGGGCCAACACGCUGGAUGGUGGACCGGCGUGGCAGCAGGUUCGCCGCUCCUCUUGGAGCCACCUCCGACCAGCCCAUCAAGUUCGCGCCCGACUUUUCCGAGUCGUUCGCGCGUAUGGUGUCGGAGCGGCCGAAGCGACCCGUCAUUAUCGACGGACCCAACGUGGCCUACGCCCACGGCCGGAACAAAGUCUGCUCGUUCCGCGGCAUCAAGAUCGUGCUCGACUACUUUAAGAACCUGGGCCACCGGUGCACCGUCUUCAUCCCGAGCACUUUCAUCAACCGUGCCCGGACCCAGGAGAAUGAGAAGCUGCUGGAGGAUCUCUACCAGACGGGCGAGCUGGCCUACACACCCAGUCGCUACAUCCGUGGGCGGCUCGUCACCAGCUACGAUGACAGGUACGUGGUGAUGUACGCCACGCGCGUGGGGGGUGUCAUCAUCUCCCGCGACCUCUACCGCGACGUGGCGCAGGAGCGGCCCGACUGGGGCGACACCAUCGAUAACAGGCUGCUGAUCCCCACGUUUGUGGGCGACCAGCUGCUGCUGCCGCCGGACCCGCUCGGCCGAGACGGGCCUGGCCUGCUGGAGUUCCUGAGGUUCCCGCCGGGCAGCUGUCAGCUGCUCGGUGACCAGCCGGCGCCCUGGGCCCAGCCGUGACGGCUAGCCGUGACAGUCGCCGUGACGGUCGCCGUGACGAUCACCGUGACGAGGUGAGGUACAACUAACGCCCCGUGACGCACAGCGGCCGCCGAGAGUCAGAGCUCAAGUGAUCUGUUCGCAGAAGUAGUGACUGAAAUGUGAACGCUACGGUGUGGUGCUCCGAUAAGGGAGGCUCGGGAGGAUCUUGUGUGGAAGACGGGCUGUGAGUGCGCUUACAGACUUCAGAGACUGACAAAGGCGAGACGAGCUACUUCUAAAGACAGUGGCGAGGUAGGGCCUGUGAUUCCUGGUUUGUCUGAAUGAAGUGCGUUUGUGAAGUUGACAAGAUCGACUGGCAGGUGGCUCAUGGGUAUGGAACGUCGCGUAUGGCUGUCACUGCCAUUGUGUGGUUUGGGUGUCCGUUCAGCGGACUGUUACUGCCAGGGACGGUCUGUGACCACUUUCAUCGCCGUAUGACCACUUGGGGACGGCGGCUGCUACAUCAGACACUAGCAACUAGUGCGCCUUUUCCGAUAAGUCAGACAAUAACAAGUAGGUCGCUCAUGUGAUCGGUUUGUUCAUGCAUAAUUACUGAUACAUCAUACGCGUCCCGAAUGUGUCAGUAUAUUCCCGAUAGGUUUCUGUAGUACUGACGGAAGACGAACCACAACAGACGCAACCGAGGGUUGUCGUGUCGCGCCAUGCAGCGGCGGGAGGCUUCCUGCUCGCUGGCGGCUCCAUGUCAGAUAGGGACUCAGUUGAUUGGGGUCCAUCCUGUGCGCUGAGUGCUCAGCUACGGGGUGGUUAUUUGAGAAGGAAAUAAAGUAACACGUGGUUGCCGCGAUUUAUUUACUCUUCUGAGUGUUAAUAAAUAGUGUUAAUCACACGUUAUUUUAUUUCAUUCACAAAUGAUCACCAUGUAGAUAUUGAUAUGAGUGAGUGAUUCUUUGUUAGGACGGCGAGUCUUCACCCGCAGUGAACAAUGAGAGUGUCUUGAGCUGAUGAGCUGAGCAGUAUUGGCACAAAAGCUGCCAGCAAUGACCCAGCUCCAAAACCACAGUGCAAAGUACAAGCUAAUUGUCCGAUUGCUUGCAUUGUUUGAUGUGGGACCGAGUUUUGUAGUUUUGCUUCGUGGUGUUCCCUGGGAGGGGUUUGUGUUUCAAGGAACUGACUGAUGUGUGGUAAUUGCUUAGCCAUUGGUCGUGAGUCUGAGUUGUUAGUCUGUCUCUGCGCUCACAAAAAUGUGCCUUACAUACAGUUUUUUCAUUGCUGCUCCGCCGUUUUGAAAAAUAUUUCAAUAAACUGUUUUCGUAUUUUGUUGA
rnacentral:misc_RNA from 1 species